ACGAGUUUGAUCCUGGCUCAGGAUGAACGUUAGCGGGAGGCUUAAUACAUGCAAGUCGAGCGGUAAGUUUUUAUAGCAAUAUGAAGACCUAGAGCGGCGCACGGGUGAGUAACGCGUACACGACCUGGCCUAAACUGGGGGAUAGCCUUGGGAAACUGAGAGUAAUCCCGCAUGUGAUUAUGUUACUGAUGGUGAUAUAAUUAAAACUCCGGUGGUUAAAGAUGGGCAUGCGGCUGAUUAGCUAGUUGGUGAGGUAAUGGCUCACCAAGGCUACGAUCAGUAGGGGGUCUGAGAGGAUCGUCCCCCCACACUGGUACUGAGACACGGACCAGACUCCUACGGGAGGCAGCAGUAGGGAAUAUUGGGCAAUGGACGAAAGUCUGACCCAGCCAUGCCGCGUGCAGGAUGACUGCCCUAUGGGUUGUAAACUGCUUUUAUACGGGAAGAAACCCCUGAACGUGUUCGGGGCUGACGGUACUGUAUGAAUAAGGAUCGGCUAACUUCGUG
rnacentral:rRNA from 1 species